CCUACGGGAGGCAGCAGUGAGGAAUAUUGGGCAAUGGGCGCAAGCCUGAACCAGCAAAGCAGCGUGAAGGAUGACUGCCCUAGGGGUGGUAAACUUCUUUUAUAUGGGAAUAAAGUGCAGUAUGUAUACUGCUAUGCAUGUACCUUAUGAAUAAGGAUCGGCUAACUCCGUGCCAGCAGCCGCGGUAAUACGGAGGAUCCGAGCGUUAUCCGGAUUUAUUGGGUUUAAAGGGAGCGUAGGCGGGUUGUUAAGUCAGUUGUGAAAGUUUGCGGCUCAACCGUAAAAUUGCAGUUGAUACUGGCAUCCUUGAGUACAGUAGAGGUAGGCGGAAUUCGUGGUGUAGCGGUGGAAUGCUUAGAUAUCACGAAGAACUCCGAUUGCGAAGGCAGCCUGCUGGACUGUAACUGACGCUGAUGCUCGAAAGUGUGGGUAUCAAACAGGAUUAGAUACCCGAGUAGUC
rnacentral:rRNA from 1 species